AAGGGGAAAGUAAAAUAUUUAGGGUACCUAAGCAGAUAAACAUAACCCAGUCAAAUUGGAUGAAUGGAAAAAUCUCUUCCUCUUUGCCAAUUCAAUCAACUGAACAAGAAAACAAAAGAAGAGUGUAUUUAGAAGCAAGCUAUUGAAUCUAAUGGACACCCUCUUUCAAUGCACCGAAUAAUUAGUGCAACUGGAAAAGACUCCAAGGGGCCGUUAUGAACCUACAUUUUAUGGACAAUUGAUAGCCAGUUGUCCUUUCUCGUUUGAUGCUUCUGUUCUAGUUCUGAAAUUUGGGAAUGCUGGUAUGAUACGUGAAGGCAUAUUGCUGGGUAUAAUGAUGGAUAAAAAGCCUUUACCCAUUCUUCAUCCAUUUGGAGAGGAUAUAUUGUUUGCAAAGCAUAUUGCUAGCUACUUACUGACCGAACAAUCUUAGCCGGUCGAAAGGAGAUGGAAUUCAUGGCUAACUUUUGUGCAUUUGAAUUUUGGCAGCAUCUUUUCAGGGUAAAGUCAUAUUCCUCCUUCACUUUAUGAGCUUCCAAA